UCCUUGGGAUUCUCUCUCUCUCUCUCUCUCUCUCUCUCCCUCUCUCUGCCCCUCCCCCACUCGUGCUUCUCUGUCUCUCUAAAAUAAAUAAAUGAACAAAAAAUUAUUUUAAAAAUGUGAGUUUGCUAUAUUAUUUAUGACUAUUUGAUUCUGACAGAAGACGAGAGAGACAGAAAGUAUAUCAGUUAGGGUUUUCUGCAGAAACAGAGCAGGUAGGAAUUGGUUCAUGUGGUUUGGAGGCCAAGAAGUCUUACCAACCGCCAUCUGUAAACUGGAGACCAGCGAAGCCACUGAUAAAAUUCAGCCCGAACUCGAAGGUCUGAGUGUAAGUCCCAGUCUGAGUUGAAAGCCCGACAACCAGAGGCACAGAUGUUGAUGUCGGAGGAAAAGACGGGUAUAUCCCAGCGGAGCACAGUGAGUAAAUUCACUCUUCCUGUACCUUUUCUAUGCUAAUCAAUUUCUAUUCUGGCCCUCAAGGAAUUGGACGACGCCACCUCAUUGGUUAACGGUGGAUCUGUUUUGCUGAGUCUACUGAUUCCAAUGCUAAUGUUUUCCAAACACAGCCUUGCCGACACAUCCAGAUGUAAUGUUUUCCCAGCUAUCAGGGCGUCCUUUAACCCAGUUAAGUUGACACAUAAAAUUCACCAUCACAGAUGGGAUGGAUGAAACUCAUAUGUGUUAAGUGUACAUAAGCAUACAUAAGCUAAUAGCAUACCCGUUAUAGGUAAAACUCAUGAGAUGUGCUAAAGAUAGAAAAUGAGCAAAGAAGUCGCUUGAAAAACAUGAGCAGAAUUCAUAAGCUAUGUUAAAUGUGGAUAAUACACUAGCAACUUUCAAGACAUAUUACACAUAUGAUAAAUAGGAUGAAAUGAGCAAAAGUGUUUACAGAAGAAAAAUAGGAGAUGGGCCAAGUCAUGAGGUACAGAUCAUGUCACUUCUAGGUUGACAGCUAAUCGUCCCUAAAUUGGCUACUCAUUUGGACCCAUCCUGGCCCCAUUGUGCUUGGGUUAAGCAACACAGACAAAACCGUGGUUGUUCAGCAGGCCCGCUGGCGAUUCACAGCUGAGGCCCUAAGUACUUGCCCCUGGGUUCUAAUGGAGGCAGUGCCUGUAACCCACCCCAGGCACUUCCUGCUUAACCUCAACUCUGGUCCUUGUGACUGGAAGAGAGGGGUUGGAGAGAGGAAAGGAGAGAGAGAGAGAGAGAGAGAGAGAGAGAGAGAGAGAGAGAGAGAGAUGAGAAUCCCAAGAUUCAGGGAGGGUCCUCUUUUACCGUGCUUGUUCUCUAUGCUAUAUUGCACUAUUCUGUCUCCCCCCAUACAGUGUCUCACUGUGUGUUUUGAAUAAAUUAAUAAACCACUGACUUAGCAUCUUCAUUGUGUCUGUGAGCCUCUCUUCAGUGAACUUUAGGAUGAACCUUGUUCUUUUCCAAGGAAAGGGCAGGUGGAAUUUUGUGAGGGAUUGCAUUGCAUGUAUAGAUCAAUUUGGGAGUAUUGUCAUCUUACGGAUAUUGAGUUUUCCAAUCUGUGACACAGGAUGUCUUUCCAUUUAUUUAGGCCUUAAAAAAAGAUUUUUCCAAUCGUGUUUUGUAAUUUUCAGUGUACAAGUGUUGCAUUUAUUUUGUGAAGUUGAUUCCUAAGCACUUUUUGGUGCUAUUGUAAAUAAUAAACAAUUAGCGGAAUGUUGUGCAACUAUUAAGAUGCAAUUUAGGAAGUAUGGUAUGUAUAAUAACAGAGGCUAUUGUUGGAAGUAAGAUCUAAUAAUCAUUGGAAGAUGAUUUCCAUUUAAGGAACAAGAUAAGAACACCAAAUCAUAUGUAUUAUAACUGUACUGUUACUAUGUACCCAAAAUAAGCAAAUAAACCUGUACACAGAAGUCCUAAAGUAAAAUGUAAUUUUUCUUUUUCCACCUCUUUGUAAUUUCAAACACAUCUUUAAUGACAAUGAUUACUUCUAUCGUGAAAACUCUAAAUAUAUAAUUUUAUUUUUUAAUUAAAAAAAUUUUAGAGAGUGAGUACAAGCAAGGGAGAGGGGCAAAGGAAAAGAGAGAGAGAGAGAUUGAGAAUCUCAAGUAAGCUUCACGCUCAGUGCAGAACCCAGUGAGGGGCUUGAUCCCAGGACCCGGAGCCGAAAUCAAGAGUCAGACACUCAAACAACUGAGCCAUCCAGGUGCCCCCUGAAUAUGUAAUUAAAAAAUCCAAUAACCUUGAAUUAUUUGGGUGGUUAAAAUAGCCAGACUGGAUUAUUUAUGAUACAUCUUCUUUGAGAGUUUAUUGUAUGUUUAUUCUUACAAUGCUAAAAAUAAAAUUGUUAUAGUUGAUGUCAAAUUGACACCAGUUGAUCACAUAAGACUUUUUACAGUUUCUCAUGCUAAGCAGCUCAUGUAACAUUCAUUGUUCUACUGACCAGAUCUUUUUUUACCAUAUAGAUUUUUAAUUUCUUUUUAAUUCCCCAUUCACAUGUAUUGAUGCUAUACAUUAUUGUAGAUAAUCCUUAGUGCAAGAGUCAGUAUAUGAUUAAAAAUUAUAAUAGCAGAAAACUGUACAUUUGACAUUACAGGAAAACAAUUUUUAUUUUUUAUUGUGUAAAUAAUUCAAAUUCUGGCCCAGCAUACAGGCCAUUGUCAGACACUCUAAUUCUUUUCUUUUUAAUGUUUAUUUAUUUUUUGAGAGAGAGCAUGAGACAGAGCUCGAGAGGGGAAGGGCAGAGAGAGAGGGAGACACAGAAUCUGAAGCAGGCUCCGGGCUGUGAGCUGUCAGCACAGAGCCUGAUGCAGGGCUCGAACCCAUGAAUCGUGAGAUCAUGACCUGAGCUGAAGUUGGACACCGACUGAGCCACACAGGUGCCCCAUGAACACUUUGAUUCUUAUGCCUCAAACUUUCUGAGAGUUCAUUUCAUGGAUACAAGAAAAAACAAACCAGUGUCUCUUAUAUUUGCUGUCCACAUUGUCUGAAAGAGGCAGAUUAAAAAAAAUUUUUUUUAAUGUUUAUUUAUCUUUGUGAGAUAGAGCAGGGGAGGGGCAGAGAGAAAGGAGGACAGAAGAUCCAAGGUGAGCUCCAUGCUGACAGAAGAGAGCCCGAUGUGGGGCUCGAACUCGUGAACCAUGAGAUCCUGACCUAAGCUGAAGUCAGAAGCUCAACCGACUGAGCCACUCAGGUGCCCCUGAAAGAGACCGCUUUAUCUUCAUGUAUAGAAAAAUGAGUUAUUGCUGGAAUCCUCCACAUUCGUAAAGCACGUCUCUCCCCAUCACUAAAUGGAUCUUCUGAGCAGGUCCUGCUGCGAAUGACUCUCCAGCCUCCCUGGGGACACUGGACCUUGCUGUGCCCCACCCUGCAGCUAGAUCCUUCUGUGAUAUGAGUACAAUGGUUCUACUUCCUGUCACCAUCUCAGGGGUGUCAUUUAAACCCAAGGACAUCCAAAAAGUUACAGCCUGCACCUGCCCCCCGCCCUCCAUGGCUGUCAGAAGAUACUGUACCCUUCCUCUGCUUCUAUUCUGGUCGCCCUUGUCCCUCCCUUGGUAAAAGACUCCCACUGGAAUCAGUGAAGGCAGGACCGGCAAAGCCAAGGGCGCUACAAGCCAUCCCUUUGUUCUGAGGACAGCUAGUUCCAAGAAGCGCUCUCUUAAAAAUGGAAACACCCUCAAGGGGAAGUCACCUGAAACGCAAAAUACCUCUGUGAAAAGGAGAAGCAGAUUCUACUGUAACUAACUCUGUGACCUUGGGCUUGAAGCCAUCUUUCUUCAAGUCUCAGCUUCCUCAUCCACGAAAGGGGAGCUUGGACUGGACCUAUUUCUUCAGUUUCUGCAGGUUGAGAGAUUGCUUUGUGAAUCUGAUGAAAGUCACAGACUGUCUCCCUACAAUGGUGCAUGUGUGCAAAUUAAAACUAUAUAUAGCA